CACACGACACCCCGACGCGACCGGGGACCGGGGCGGGUGGGUGGUGGGUACCCCCGAAAGGCGCGCGGGGGUAAUAUUGAUGGGUGAAUGGGAGCAGAGCGGGUCCCAAGGGGCGGCGGGGAAGGAGAGGCGCUGGCAGCGUCGCCUGCCAUCCCACGAGAGGGUUUAUUAGUCACUAAUAAGGCGGCGUGAGUGGGGAUGGGGAAGAAAGCGAAGAGAGCGUCGCUGCUAUUGACCCAUUGUAAGGGUUGUGGUUAAUUUCUACUGAACGGAAGCCCAGCACGUACGGCGGGAGCAUUUGUACCGAUCCGAGUAAAUAAAUAUGUUUACGGUGAAGGUAGCGACUUUUGUAACACGGUGCCUUUACUACCCAGGGUUUUUCCAGUCCCUUACAUGGAGACGCUUCAGAGGGUCAGAAGCACUGCACGGGUACAGGGUGCCAGGCACGUACCUUGAGUGCAGACCCCCUCCGCAUGUUGCUGUGUGGCCGAAAGCUUUGUGAACAAGAACUGCCCAUUUCCUUGGUCUCUCUGCUGCUGCGUGCCACCGGCUCGCUGGAAGGGAUAGAGCUUGCGUGAGGAGACCUGGCUUGCUCUAAGCUAAAGAAGAAAAAGAACUCCGAAAGAAUUUGAACAAGCUGCUUCUGCAAGACAAACCGUUACAAGUGCGGGGAAUGCCACACCGGUGAAAUGACAGAUAUGGUCACACAUGCUAUUGAUGCUUGAGAUGAUGAAAGGAGUUUUACUUCACAAGACCCUGAACUUGCUACGCUCCUUGCUUUUACAAAGGGAGAAAUAGAAUUGCAUCAGAGCCACAAAAACUGCAGAUUGCUCAAAAAAGACAUAUUUUACCAAAGCACUUUCUAUGCCUAGUAGCAUAAUCUGUAGCGGUCUUACUGUUGACGGAUAUUUAUAUUCCUUCUGCAAUAGCACAACAUGAUUCUGAAUGUCGUGUGGAGCUUGACAAUAGGAUUGCGACUGAAGGAAAGAGAACUGGUUCUGAACUGUGUUCUGAAUUUCAAUCUGCGCACAAUGAACUUUCACAUGAAGGCUGAGGGGAAAUGCGAAAUAACUUGCUUUUAUUAGUUGAGUUGAAUUUUAUGGAACAUUUUUAAUCUUUUAUUGAUUAGCGAUCAGUAUCCCUGAGAUAACUCAUUUUUAAAAGAAUGUUUAAGUGAAUUUGUAGUAAUGAUGGUAGCAUAUAAUCUGCUUUUAAGGCUCCAUUCUUGGAAUAAGAAAUGUUUCUGUUUAUUCAGCAUAAUGUUUUAAAUUGAUAUAUCACAAUUUUUUAAUUCCAUUUUUAUCUCUGUCACUUGAGGUGUUCGAAAUGUGCAAUAUCUAUAUUACUUAUGUACAUUACCUUGAAAUACAUUUUAGCAUGCAGGAAAGUAUGUUUUCCAGAUAGAUGUAUUAGAUGUAUUGGUUCCAGUACCCCCAGAUACGCACCUGGCUUGCACCACUGUGGAUAAGGACCCUACUGCUUGAAAUAACUUCCUGUAUGUACCAUCUUUUCAUAUUAAACCCACUUUUAGCAAGAAUCUGUCCCUGGGAACAAACGGUGGAAGGGCUGUUAAAAUCUCCUUAUGCUGUACAAUAUCACAGUUCCUCCGGCAUAACGGCUGCUGGGAUGAGCUCGGAGCCAAAUACGGUCAGCGUAACUGAGGAGAAAACGUUUAAGCUGCUCUCACACUAAGAAACAAGGUGCUUAGAAUUUGCCCUCCAGAGUGCACAUGCACUCUUUCAUAGCCUCAUCACACAUGAGGCUCCCACCCCACCGGGAUGGUUUUUUUAUCCCAGUCUCCACUUCCUCUUCCAGGACAAGACCCAUAUGUUGAGGUCGUGCUGCUCACCCACUCACAAAUGUGAAGAGCACAGGCUUGCUACCAAGAGAACCAAAAAGGAAAAAUCAACGAGUAUGUCUCGGAGGUGGAUGCGGUGUCCUUUUCCUUUUACUACGCACCACUAGGCAGGAUCAAAAUCCAACUUGUAUUUGCCUUCUGGGAACCUGCAGUACCCAGAGCUGUCAAAGCCACAUCCUCCACUGCCUUUCUGAAAACCCUCUCUGCAGUGCAGAUGGUGGGCCAGGAAGGAAAAGGAAACCUCAUCUGCCACACAGGCCUUCAUUUUUGGAGUUGGGAAGAGCCUGAAAGCUCCUUGACGGGUUGCUUGACAGACCUCCCCACUCAGCUGAGACGCUGGCCAUGGCAAGGCUGGUAGGGCAAGAAGCACCGCAGCUGGCGCUUUCCAGAGCCACUGGUUCUGACAAAUCUGGAGAGAAACAGAUUUGUCACCUCCCUGAUUUAUUUUAGUUUAUGAUUGAAGUGAAAGACGCUGAACUGUGAGGAACUUUGUACUCAUAGUGAUGAUAAACAUCACAAGUGCACGUGAGCAUGUAUUUUAUUAGGAAACUACUGCUGUGCAUGUUCAUUCUUUGCUGACUGAUUCCUGUAGGCAAUAAACACUCUUCUAAAAUA